rnacentral:misc_RNA from 1 species
AACGCACAUUGCGCCCGCCGGCAUUCCGGCGGGCAUGCCUGUUCGAGCGUCAUUUCAACCCUCAGGCUCCGCCUGGUGUUGGGUCACCACCACUCGGUGGGCCCCCAAAUUCAGCGGCGAGCGUCCCCUGGACCCGAGCGUAGUAAUACAUCUCGCUUAGGGCGCCGGGAGCGGUUCCAGCCGUUAAACCCCCAUCUUUUACAAGGUUGACCUCGAAUCAGGUAGGAAUACCCGCUGAACUUAA